CGCAGCCCCACAGGCCAAGAAUCAUGCAUGCAGGGGGGGUGGGGGGAGGGCAGAGCCGGGAUGGCCUGACCCAAGGCUGGUGGGGCAUGGGGCCCUUGGAUCAGGAGCGACCUCACCUUGGCAGUUCUUAUAUACCCGGCCAAACAUCCCAAACACGCGGCCCGGCCAAGUGGCCCCCCUCGGGCUGUGCGCCCUGACCAUAUUUAGUCAAGCAGGGGAAAAAAUAGCCUGUCAGCUGGGCCGAGGCUGGCCAGGCAGCAGGGAACAGGGUGGGAGCCCCGGCACCAUUGACAGCGGUCCUGGGCUGCCCCGUCCCCCUCUCAACCCCUCCCUGACCAGUCGCUACCGGCUGUCCCUGUCCUGUCCGAAUCCCCUUGCUAUUUUUAGCUAGACCCAGUACAGAGGUGCCUCCUCCCUAGUGGGCACUUGCCUCUCUCCACGGCCACAACAGCCCAUUCCUCAGAGUGGCCUGGGGAGACUGGAGCUGACCCAGGGAGCAGGGCCCAGGAAGGGAAAUGGGUGCUGUCCUGGCCUUAGUCCCCUAAAGGCCCAGCUGGCCCAGGGCCUUAACAUCUCCAGAGUGGUGUCUUUUUUGCUCAAAUGUAGGGUUGGGUCAAGGAGCAACAGAGUCACCACCAGUUUUCCUGAGGGUCCCAAACCAACCCCAGGUAAUGAGAAUCACAGGUCACCUUGAGCAACCGACAAAGCCAACUAGUGAGUCAUUCCAACAUCUUCCAGACCCUGACAAGGGUAUAUGGCUGGAAGACCCCGUAUCCACGGUGGUGAGUACGAUUGGAAAUGCCUCCAUUCUGGCUCCCACCCGGGUCAUAGAAAAGACAAAGCUUGGGAAGACAGCCCCACUGAGCUGAGAGUCAGAAUCUAGCAGCUUGGGAUCAACCAACUAUCCCCUUGGAGCAGAGUAGCGUUGAGCAGGUCUCUGCCACCCUGCCACUGUAAAGAACAAUGAUAACAAACACUUGAGAUGACUUGGGAGCCAUUAGUGGAGGCCAGAAACAGGCCCCUCAGUGGACAUGAGUGCUCCUUCUGGCAAAGCCCUGCACAGAACACGGGCAUCCGAAGGCUUCCUGCUGUUUUAGAAUCCACUCACAAACCUCCUGUACUUAGAGAAGUAUCCCCCAGCCCUGUACUGGCCAAUAUGGGGAAGGGUGAUCAUAUACAUCUUCCCAGGAGGAAGAUGUAAGCAGCCUGCUCCUACCAAGGCCACCUCCCAGGUGGUGAGGUAAGGACACCCCUUCAGCUCCACUCCCAGGCUCUCGGUAACCCAGCAGGAGAGAACACUGACCAAGGCCAGUCCACAGAAGCAAGAGAGAGAUGAAGCCAUACCGUAAUCACCACAUAGGCUGGCUGUGACCAGUGUCCCAACCAAGGAGAGAGAAACAGGGAGAAGGGUACCCAUGGCUGUCCAAGCUGGGGUGGGUGCCGUGCCGCAGCUAUACCCAGGACUCACAGGCUACGGGGCUGCCUCUUUCCCAGGGAAGGUAUAGUAAACAACCUGUCCCAAAUUCCUCCAGGACACAGCCAAAGGACAAACUCCUGAAGAGGGAAGCCAUGGGCCCCGAGCUCCCAGCCUCUUAGGACUUCGCUGCCCACCGAUAAGGGAACAAGGCACCUCCUCACAAGGGACACAGAGUUCAGCUAGGACCACCACGUUGAGGUCCCCUCAAGAGUGCACUUGUGUUGUAGAGUACUAUUUUAAGAUGUGCUACAUUUGCUUACGUUGUGGAACAUUUGUUCAAUGAUGCAAAGAUGUGUUGCAUUCUUUUAUGUUGCAUUUGUUUAACUCUGUGAAGCUGUGAUCCUUUGCCUGUCUAAAACACCUGAUGGUCUAAUAAGGAGCUGAAUGGCCAAUAGUGAGGCAGGAGAGAGGAUAGGCAGGGUUCACAGAUAAAAAGUAUAAACAGAAGGAGAAAUCUUGGAGGAGAAUGAGAAGAAGCAAAAUAAAAAAAGGAGGAAGACAUCAGGGGCCAGCCACCCAGCUACACAGCAAGCCACGGAAUAAGAAGUAAAAGAAGGUCUACAUAGUCCAGAAGCAAAAGGUAGACGGCAUAUUUUAAGAUAAGGAAAGCUGGCUAGAAACAAGCCAAGCUAAGGCUGAGCAUUUAUAAGUGAUAAUAAGCCUCCCUGAGUGUAUUUAUUUGGGAGCUGGAUGGCAGGCCCCCAAAGAGCAAAAGACUAAAAACCAACCAACAACUACAUUUUGGCACUUCAGUGUGGGGCUAAAGCAACACGUGUGUUUAGUAUGGUAGCACAAGUCUAUAAUACCAUUCAGGAAGUGGAGUUGCCAAGAGUUUGAGGCUAGCCUGGCUAUGGUGAAUACCAAGCCAGCAGGAGCUACAUAGUAAGACUGCCUCAAAAUAAAUAAAUAAGCAAAUAAAUGAAUAAGUAUUGUGCCCAUAAUAACAUGGAUAGUUGGGAAGGUCUCGAGAACUGUUGUCCCCAACACAUUUCCUUUUGAGGCUUCCAAUAUCUUCUUUUGGAGAAUUAAAUGUAUGGAUGAUGGAUGGAUGAAUGACUUAUGCAGUCAAUUGACUGAACCAUUGAUUACUAGACAGCAAGGCCCAGGACAGGGCAUGGUGGGACUGGGGUCUCUGGACAGAACCAUGUUUAUGUAAUUCAGCUUGAAUUUGGAUGAGAUUUAACAUCUUAUGGGGAAGUGGUACGAGGUCCAUGAUGGGUCAGCCCAGACAGAGGUUAUAGAGACAUUUUCCCACAGCUAUGUAGGUUCCUACAGAGACUAGUCCAUAUCUGUGCUAACCAGCCUGUCCUCCACCCAGGAGAAGGAGCUGGAACACCUUUGCCACUAAUCAUUCCUCCUCGAAACUCACUGACAUUGAGGCUAAGCAAUGUCCAUGUACCAUCCGUCUGUCCUUGUACCUGCGAACACACGGCUCUCAAGAGAGGUGGACACUUCUUAUUUCUUCCCCAGGCAACAGGAUGGAGGAGACACUGUUCCCAUCCAAGCCCAUGUCUUCAUCCCCACCCUGACCAUUCCAUGUCAGUGAAGCCACUGCAGAAAACAGGCAGCAGCUUCUCCAGUGAUAAGACCUCAAUACGCCCGAGCAACUGCUCUGCUGGGCACGUGUCUGGAGGGUCCCUGAAGCAUUGGCUUUGGUGCAAACAGCACAACCCAGAUGUCAUCGACUAAUGACCAGGGGACAAUACACCGCAUGUUGAUAGGAUGGAAUAUUAGUUGGUCAUAAAAACAAAAGCACUGCUACAUACCAUGACUGUUAAAAACGGCGCAGGGUCAACACAGGGGGCCAUAAACUGUACGUGGACUGAAUGUGGAACCCCCAGGAUGGACAGAUCCAUAGACAGUCAGAGAGGGAGAGCCCAGGGGAAGUGGGUCUCCUUCAGGUGAUGUUAUGGAGGGACCUAGAAGAGACAGUUAUACAGCAUUAGAUGCCAUAGAUGCUGUCCAAUGAUGCUCUCUUUAAAAUGGUUCUUUUAUCUUUGUUUUGUUUUUCUUUUGAGGCAGGAUUUCUCAAAACCAGCGCCACCAGGAAGCUUGUUGUGUAGUUGAGGAUGACCUUGAACUUGUGACCCUCCUGUCUCCACCUCCUUAGUACGAGGAUUAAAGGACUACACAGCCCCGGGCAUAGGCACCUAGAUCUUCAAGGACCUGGCUAUAGUUUUCUUUGGGACAUUCCCCAGGAUGCUGGACUCCUCACCAUGAUGACUGCAUCCUCAAACCAGGAGCCAACAGAAGCCCUUCCUUCCUUAAAUUACUUCUUUCCAGUGUCCUCACAGGAUCCUUCUAGGGGGAAGGAUGGCUGGAGGCGUGGGAGUACACUACACUACUGGCUUAGGAUGGAGGAGCGGACCACGGAUGGAACCCUGCAGCCUACAGAGGGAGUCAGCUGACAUCAGGCUUCGGCUUCUAGCCUGGCCAUGAGGACCAACGUCAAGCUGCCUGUCUGGUGCCUGCUCCAGCUCUGACCUCACCCUAGAGAGCUCACACAACCCUUCUCCAUUUUAUCCCAUCACGUCUCCAGAGAAAACCAUGCUCAUGGC